GCUUGACCAUUAUAUGUGUGCCUUUCAUAUUAUUAAAAUGCAUGCAUAAUAUGCCAAGGAUUCUACAAAUGUACAAUGGGGAAUACACAAUAAAUAAGCAGUUUUAAUGUACUCCCUUUUACUUUCUAUUUUAAUAGAUAUACGAGUCAUCGAUCUAAUUGAUUAGUGAUUAUGAUUAAAUCUUAUCUUCUUACCUUACAUGUAAAAUGAGAGGGUAAGGGGGAAUAAGCUAAAAUUUGCCAUGCAAAAUUUACAACCUUAGAUGAUGUGUCGUUUGUCUGAAGUAUCCGACCUUGAAGAAAUGUUAUAAUAUUCCUACCAACCAUUCAUUAAACAUGGAUGCCACCCCUAUAAAGCCAGUUGCAUACAUGUCUACUAUCAUUGCAUACAAUCUCUUCUUCUACUUCCUCCUACGUAUCUUAGCCCCUUUAAGCAACUAGGCAGUAGCACUAGCAUUCUAUCUAAAACGAGUGAAAUAGUAAUUUCGGGAAAAAUAGAGACAUGUCUAAAAUGAGCAAACAUAGUACUGAUUAGCAUUUGGACGCGUGAACAGAGUUCGGAAUGAGAGGCACUCGGGAGGACAUCAUCUAUUGAAGCUUAGAUUCUUCUUUCUCAACUUGUUGUGCCAUGCCUGGCACAUCAAGAGAAAGUGAAGACCUUGAGAAAUGCCCCUCUAGAGACGGUGGCAGCUGUUCCAGGGCCAACUUCGGGUAGGGCGUGGCCAAGCUUUCUAGUAGGUGGAUGAGGCGUUUCUGUAUCAAUAUAGCAGGGCUUUCUGUGUAUUAGCAGGUGGAUGACGCCUUCCACCGAUGGACCACACACUAUACCUGGCGAGCCCACGCCAAAGAGACUUCCGCGGCAGGAAUGGCCGCUGUGGGGCACUAGACUACAACACUGUAUAAAGUAAAAUUUUAUUACUGUCCUUAUAUAAUCGAUCGGACCACUCACUCCAAAAGCAGACAGACCAUAGGUUGACAG
rnacentral:lncRNA from 1 species